CCCAACUAUCCCUAUUAAUCAUUACGUCGAUCCUAGAAACCAACAAAAUAGAAUCAAACGUCCUAUUUCAUUAUUCCAUGCUAAUGUAUUCAAGCGCGAGCCUGCUUUAAACACUCUAAUUUUUUCAAAGUAACGGUCCUGAUUCCCCAUGACACCAAAUUAAUGACAUCAUGGUUCUUCAGAAGGGAGAAAUCAAAAUUGCCAGUACGUACCGAGGCACGACCAACAAAUUGAUCUCGAAAUUCAACUACGAGCUUUUUAACUGCAACAACUUUAAUAUACGCUAUUGGAGCUGGAAUUACCGCGGCUGCUGGCACCAGACUUGCCCUCCAA
rnacentral:misc_RNA from 2 species